UACGGAGGGUGGCAAGCGUUGUCCGGAAUCACUGGGCGUAAGGGCGCGAGUAGGCGGCCUGCUAUGUCGAACGUGAAAUCCCCGGGCUCAACCCGGGAACUGCGUCCGAAACUGGCAGGCUCGAAUCCGGGAGAGGGAUGUGGAAUUCCAGGUGUAGCGGUGAAAUGCGUAGAUAUCUGGAGGAACACCGGUGGCGAAGGCGGCAUCCUGGACCGGUAUUGACGCUGAGGCGCGAAAGCCAGGGGAGCAAAGCGGG
rnacentral:rRNA from 1 species